CCCUUCGUGGUGUAGUGGUCAGCACGUUUGGCGCGUAUUCAAUAAAUCCGUGGUUCAAGUCCCGGCGAGGUCA
rnacentral:tRNA from 1 species